ACUCCUACGGGAAGCAGCAGUAGGGAAUCUUCCACAAUGGGCGAAAGCCUGAUGGAGCAACGCCGCGUGGGUGAAGAAGGUCUUCGGAUCGUAAAACCCCUGUUGUUAGAGAAGAAAGUGCGUGAGAGUAACUGUUCACGUUUCGACGGUAUCUAACCAGAAAGCCACGGCUAACUACGUGCCAGCAGCCGCGGUAAUACGUAGGUGGCAAGCGUUAUCCGGAUUUAUUGGGGCGUAAAGGGAACGCAGGCGGUCUUUUAAGUCUGAUGUGAAAGCCUUCGGCUUAACCGGAGUAGUGCAUUGGAAAACUGGGAGACUUGAGUGCAGAAGAGGAGAGUGGAACUCCAUGUGUAGCGGUGAAAUGCGUAGAUAUAUGGAAGAACACCAGUGGCGAAAGCGGCUCUCUGGUCUGUAACUGACGCUGAGGUUCGAAAGCGUGGGUAGCAAACAGGAUUAGAUACCCCUGGUAGGAUAGCG
rnacentral:rRNA from 1 species